UCUCGCGAACCGGAGGGGAGCGCUUGGCAGGCUGUCAUCGGCGGAGCAGCCAAUGACAAAACCGGAGCGGUGACGUCAUCGAGCAUGGCAACGGGGCAGGCUGCGGGCGCUGGGCGCGGGCGGGCGAGCGGGCGCCGAGCGGCCGCUGGGGGGAGGUCGCCAGGCGGGGCCCGGGCCGGCUGUUUGUUUAACCCCAGAAGACCCAACCAUUACGGAAACGGAGAUUAAGACGGAGAAAGGCGAGGGAAGCUGUUUGGUGUGGUUGAGGAGGCGGACACUGAUCUGAGCAGCAGCCUGGACUCAGGAUGGAAGAGAAUUUAAUCUUUCAUGCCUCCAGGAGAGCUAUCCCUCUGAGUCAGAAGGAGAAAAGUCCAGCCCCAGUCUGAUGGGAGUCCUUCACAUCUCCAGGAAAUUAAGCUCCAAGGAGGCUAGAGAUGGCAGAUGCAAGACCAUUGUCUGUGAUCGUCUCUGGCCUGGGGAUGUCAACAGAGCCAAUGGAGUUGAUUCCCAGAAGAGCUGUGGAAACACCCGUCUGUGGGGGGACCUGGGCAGUUGUCCUCCAGGUGGCAUUUCCCCCCGACUUUGAAAAUAACCUCUUCCUCAAGACACCAGCAUGAUACUGGAUAGUCCUGCUGGAGAUGCUGACACCUCUGUUGGAAAACUUUCAUCCCCAUCACUUGCCUUCAUGAAAGCAUCCAUGAGAUAUUUUUUUUUUGUCAUAAAAAGAAGCUCUUCAAAUUCGUUGCCUAAAUCUCUUGAAGUAAUUGCACCGUACUUAUCCAUGGCAUUGCUGAUUUUGGGCACAGGAGUACAUGCUGUUGGGACGUCUAUCUGUAUAUCACCCCCAAAGUUGCUGGGUUUCGAUGAAGGCUGCAGGCUAUUUCUGGGUUCUCUGUAACACUUGCCACCCAUUAUUACAAAAGGCCCUUGCUGAAGUUGAUUUCAGUAUCCUCAUUGCUUCAUAGUCACAGUACCUAAGUGAUAGCGAAGAGGCAAGUUCACUUAGUGGAUCAGACUAAUUAAGUACUUGUGUUAAUUUUUAAUAAGUGGAACAGAAUGUUUUUAUGGGUUGAAGGUUGAGGCUGACUGCUAUGGAGUUUUCUCACAGCAGUCAAAAAAGUUUGGCAGGCAAACCUGUUGAAAAGCUGGUAUUAAUGCCUGUAGGUGGCAUAAAUGCAGCAUGUAAUUGCAACGCUACAACUCAUCUGCAGCAUUUAGUCUGUUUGGCAGCUCAGUAGGUUUGCAGUAAGGUUGAAGCCAGAUUAUUUUUCUGUACUUAGACCAGAGUACUUAUUAGAGAAUAUCCUAAGAUUUUUUUAUAGUUUAGAUGACAUAAAGCAUAUUAAACAUCUAUUUGGUUUUGCUUGGAAGUGACAAAUGUUAGUUUUCUUCCUCUCUUUUCUUGAAAAACUUUUGAGUGCCAGCAAAAUAAAUCAACCUUUAUUGCACUCCCUAUCACAAACUUGAGUCACAAAGUAGGAAAAAUCCAUUUUUCUUACAACCCAACCCAACCAAACCUUCAACUUGUACCUGGGGCGUUGAUCAGCAUCCACUGGAUGAGCUGCUGACCCACACUGAAGUAUCCCAAGAGUAUCGGCAAAUGACUCCAGCUGAUGCAGUUUGUCUGAAAGCGACAUUGUCCUGAAGAUACGAACCUCUUCCAAGGUAUUCCAGGACAGUUCUUUUCUGCUGCCAUUCAGUCAGUUGUGGAUUAUUCGUGACAGGAGUAAGGAGGCACUAAAGACUAAUCAAACAGCGCACAUUUUUCAUAGCUAGAACACAGAACCAGCACAAGUCACCUUUGACAAGGCUUUGUUGCCUAUUACGAAAAUCAAAUACAUAGGAUUUUCUUUAGAGUAAGAAUAAGCGCAUCCACAGAUAACUGCAUGUACAGUCUGUGUUAAUAAAACAAGAAAAAAUGUAAUAUGCUCAUUGCUGUUUGGAGAAUUGCUGUAGACUGUAUCAGGCACUAUCAUCUCUAGGCACAGCUAUAAUGGUCGUGGUUGCCUGAACAACUUUAUUACUCUUGUCAUGUCUAAGAACUUUUAAGCACACAUACAAAUGAUUAUUUUUUUUUUCCCAAAGAAAAUAAUAGAAAAAUCUUCACAUUAUGUCUUUUUACAUUUUUGGCCUGUUUCCUCUCCAUGUCCCGGUUUUGCCAUCUCCUAAAUAAUGUCAAACUUGCUUUGCAGGAAUGUUGAAAGGUUUUAAUAAUAGAUAGGAAGCUUGUUGAGAUCCUUGGCUGGAGGAUACUCUGUAAAUAUGAAAUGUUACGGUUAAUAAUGCAGA